rnacentral:rRNA from 1 species
CGGGGUGAGUAACGCGUGGAUAACCUGCCUCACACAGGGGGAUAACAGUUAGAAAUGACUGCUAAUACCGCAUAAGCGCACGGUACCGCAUGGUACAGUGUGAAAAACUCCGGUGGUGUGAGAUGGAUCCGCGUCUGAUUAGGUAGUUGGUGAGGUAACGGCCCACCAAGCCGACGAUCAGUAGCCGACCUGAGAGGGUGACCGGCCACAUUGGGACUGAGACACGGCCCAA